GGCUGGAGAGAUGGCUCAGCGGUUAAGAGCGCUGCCUGUUUUUCCAGAGGUCCUGAGUUCAACUCCCAGCAACCACACGGUGGCUCACAACCAUCUGUCAUGAGAUUUGAUGUCCUCUUCUGGCCUGCAGGGAUACAUGCAGACAGAACACUGUGUACAUAAUAAAUAAAUCUU